rnacentral:rRNA from 1 species
GGGAAUUGUUCGCAAUGGGCGCAAGCCUGACGACGCAACGCCGCGUGGAGGAUGAAGAUCUUCGGGUCGUAAACUCCUGUCGAGUGGGAAGAAACGUUCCGGGGCGAAUAUCCCCGGAAUUUGACGGUACCACUAAAGGAAGCCCCGGCUAACUCCGUGCCAGCAGCCGCGGUAAGACGGAGGGUGCUAGCGUUGUUCGGAAUCACUGGGCGUAAAGGGCGCGUAGGCGGCUUUGGCAGUCGGAUGUGAAAGCCCGGGGCUCAACCUCGGAGGUGCAUCCGAUACUCCACGGCUCGAGUCCGGAAGAGGAGGGUGGAAUACCCAGUGUAGAGGUGAAAUUCGUAGAUAUUGGGUGGAACACCGGUGGCGAAAGCGGCUCUCUGGUCCGGUACUGACGCUGAGGCGCGAAAGCGUGGGGAGCA